GUUCUACUCCACAACCCCGAGAUGAAGAAAUUCCCCAAACAUGUACACAUUCAAAUCACCCCGGAUGACCGAAGAAGGAAGACGGCGUUUGAAUUUUUCACCGACACUUGGAAACUUCAUGGAAAUGGGAAUGAGUUCUACUCCACAACCCCGAGAUGAAGAAAUUUCCAAACAUUCAAAUCACCCCGGAUGACAGAAGAAAGAAGACGACGUUUGAAUUUGACAUCGAUUCAUAGAGCAAAGUUUUAUUUUUAUAUGUCAUACUGUCUACAACGACAUUAUAGUCUUUGAUAGCGUAACGUAACAGUCAGACCCGUACUUCCCAUAUAUCCCGCGUAAUAAGACAGGAUAGUAUUCGGUUAUUUUUUGUUUGUUUUUAGAAUUCAAAUUUCUGUUUCACCGUAACUUGAAUUUUUCCGAACCAGGGGGGAUGUAACGAAGUCUGAUUAUUCCCAUAGGAAUGAUCAGGCUCCGUCUAAA